rnacentral:rRNA from 1 species
ACACACACAUCCGCCUGGGUACUACGAGCACAGCUUAAAACCCAAAGGACUUGGCGGUGUCUCAGACCCACCUAGAGGAGCCUGUUCUAGAACCGAUAACCCUCGUUAAACCUCACCACUUCUUGUUUUCCCCGCCUAUAUACCGCCGUCGUCAGCUUACCCUGUGAAGGUUUAAUAGUAAGCAAAAUGGGCCCGCCCAAAAACGUCAGGUCGAGGUGUAGCGUACGAAGUGGAAAGAAAUGGGCUACAUUUUCUACAUGCAGAAUAUUACGGACGGUGCAUUGAAACCAUGCACCCAAAGGUGGAUUUAGUAGUAAAAAGUAAGCAGAGUGUCCCUUUGAACUAGGCUCUGAGACGCGCACACACCGCCCGUCACUCUCCCCAACACCCCAUCCAAACUAUAUCUAAUAAACUAAUUAUAAACACGGGGAGGCAAGUCGUAACAUGGUAAGUGUACCGGAAGGUGCACUUGGAAUAAU